rnacentral:rRNA from 1 species
GACGAACGCUGGCGGCGUGCUAAACACAUGCAAGUCGAACGGAAAGGCCCUGCUUUUGUGGGGUGCUCGAGUGGCGAACGGGUGAGUAACACGUGAGUAACCUGCCCUUGACGUUGGGAUAACUUCAGGAAACUGGGGCUAAUACCGGAUAGGAGCUCCUGCUGCAUGGUGGGGGUUGGAAAGUUUCGGCGGUUGGGGAUGGACUCGCGGCUUAUCAGCUUGUUGGUGGGGUAGUGGCUUACCAAGGCUUUGACGGGUAGCCGGCCUGAGAGGGUGACCGGCCACAUUGGGACUGAGAUACGGCCCAGACUCCUACGGGAGGCAGCAGUGGGGAAUAUUGCACAAUGGGCGGAAGCCUGAUGCAGCAACGCCGCGUGCGGGAUGACGGCCUUCGGGUUGUAAACCGCUUUCGCCUGUGACGAAGCGUGAGUGACGGUAAUGGGUAAAGAAGCACCGGCUAACUACGUG